UACGUAGGGUGCAAGUGUUGUCCGGAAUUAUUGGGCGUAAAGAGCUCGUAGGCGGUUUGUCGCGUCUGCUGUGAAAACCCGAGGCUCAACCUCGGGCCUGCAGUGGGUACGGGCAGACUAGAGUGCGGUAGGGGAGAUUGGAAUUCCUGGUGUAGCGGUGGAAUGCGCAGAUAUCAGGAGGAACACCAAUGGCGAAGGCAGAUCUCUGGGCCGUAACUGACGCUGAGGAACGAAAGCCAGGGGAGCGAACGGG
rnacentral:rRNA from 1 species